AAGACUCUACUUUCAGGGAUCAGUUCUUUAGUCUGGAACUAGAGGAUUGUGUUUCUACAGAGGUUGGUCUGGCUGUCCAUGAUGAUGAAUGAAGAUGUUUCCUUCAGAGCAGGAAGCUGGUGAGAAGAUGAGAAUCUUCUUCACUGAUGAAGACUGUUCAGUGUUUCUGGAUGUGACACUGAAGGAGGAAACAUUGUCUGAGUGGA
rfam:Oryzias latipes DNA, scaffold717, strain: Hd-rR.